GAUGAAGAACGUAGCGAAAUGCGAUACUUGGUGUGAAUUGCAGAAUCCCGUGAACCAUCGAGUCUUUGAACGCAAGUUGCGCCCGAAGCCAUUAGGCCGAGGGCACGCCUGCCUGGGCGUCACACGUCGUUGCCCCCCCAUCUACUCCUUCGGGAUUGCGGGGGGCGGAUGAUGGCCUCUCGUGCGCCUCGUCGCGCGGUUGGCCUAAAUGCCAAGUCCUCGGCGACGCACGCCACGACAAUCGGUGGUUGCGAAACCUCGGUUGCCUGUCGUGUGCGGUCGUCGCGCAUCGAGGGCUCGAAAAAAUUGCCGGACUUCGGCUCGACUUUCAACGCGACCCCAGGUCAGGCGGGGUUACCCGCUGAAUUUAAGCAUAUCAAUAAGCGGAGGA
rnacentral:misc_RNA from 1 species